AUAAUUGCUUCUUUGAAUCCUCUUAUAGCUGGAGGAUAGAUCUGGGUCUCGAACGAGCACGUCAUGUUCAAGCCAAAGGUUAUCAAUUUUUGCCUUUAAUCAUUUGGUUCCCUUGUCUGAGCUACUAAAAGAGAUGUAGUGGUUAUUGUCUAACAAUCCAGGUUAUCAAUUUUUACCUCUUUCAAAGAAAUUCAUUUUCAUUAUCAAGCCAAGGAAGUCAUUAACCUCGCAUUGUCUUUCAAACAUUUGUUACUUCUGAGAUUCGAAUUGAUAGGCAUUAUUUGAAAUGUGAGGCAAAUGAUCUCCUUGGUGAAGUUAAAAUGGUUGAGAACAUCAUAGAUGUGUUUGGCCUUACAUGCACACCACCUAUUUGAUGAAAGUUCCAGGGAUAAUGAUCGGGAGUUGGGAUUGAGUGGCUUCCAUCAAGAUCAGCAAAAUUGAAAGAAGGGAGCAGAGAGAGAAGAGAAAUAGAAGGGACGAAAGGGGAAGAUAUGUGAGCCGUGGAAAGAAGAGAGAAGAAAGAAAAGACCAUCAAGAUCAACAAAAGCGAAAGAAAAGAGCAGAGAGAAAAGAGGAAUAGAAGAGACGAAAGCAGAAGAUCUAUCCCUUUGUUUUCUACUUUGACAUCUGGGUAGCCAACUGCAACAGUUUCAAGCUGUGGUCCUUGCAACAGUGAGAAUUUGGUUUGUAAAAGUCCAAGCAGGCAAGCACUAAGAUACAGAAGACAACAGGACAAAUCAAUCUUUGUUUCUUUUGGAAAAGUUUGGUCAAAGCAGGUUUGGGAUAAGCAAAUUAUAAUUUGAAAACAGUUGUCAUUGGAUGUUGACGGUGGACAAAAAUCAACAGUGGAGUGCUAAGUGGGAAAUGAAAGCAAAUCACUUCUACACACAAAAAGACAUUGAUUAGGUCCGGGCCGAGUGGGCAAAGUAUGUCAGCCAAUUUCAACAAAGCUAGUGUGUCGAGAAGAUUCUAAUUUUGGACAUGCAUCAUCUAUAACCCAUAUUAACUAGUUAUGCAGUUGGUCUAAGUAUCUAUUUUUGGCCUGCAAGUACAGUUUAAUUAUGAUCAGUAGCUAGUAUGAGAUAUCAGUGGUUUUUGGGUUACAUUUGUUGAUCAUGCCAACUGCUAUGGGUUAUUGAACUGAUGUUUAUUAAGUUUAGCUCCAUGAUGGAUGUAUGUAUAUAUAGCUGCAGGAACAGAUUGAUCAAAUAUUGGUAUUUUUGUGAAUGGAUUUCAUAUUUGAUGAAUGCAUUGUGUUGU